rnacentral:miRNA from 1 species
CUGCAAGAAAUUGAUCAACUCGGGCUGGAGAGAUGGCUCGGCGGUUAAGAGCACUGGCUGUUUUCUUCCAGAGGUCCUGAGUUCAAUUCCCAGCAACCACAUGG